UUCCUACGGGAGGUAGCAGUGAGGAAUAUUGGUCAAUGGCCGAGAGGCUGAACCAGCCAAGUCGCGUGAGGGAAGACGGCCCUACGGGUUGUAAACCUCUUUUGUCGGGGAGCAAAGCGAGUCACGUGUGACUCAUUGAGAGUACCCGAAGAAAAAGCAUCGGCUAACUCCGUGCCAGCAGCCGCGGUAAUACGGAGGAUGCGAGCGUUAUCCGGAUUUAUUGGGUUUAAAGGGUGCGCAGGCGGUCUGUUAAGUCAGCGGUCAAAGCCCGGGGCUCAACCCCGGCCCGCCGUUGAAACUGGCAG
rnacentral:rRNA from 1 species